rnacentral:rRNA from 1 species
AUUGAACGCUGGCGGUAGGCCUAACACAUGCAAGUCGAACGGCAGCACAGUGCUAGCUUGCGCUUACGGCGGCCGAGUGGCGGGUGGGGCCUAGAUACCUCCGAAUCUGCUUUUUCGUAGGGCCUAACGUAGGGGCUCUUACGCUAAUCCCGCUUAGGGCGUACGGGGGAAAUCAUGGGACCUUCGGCCCUUGCGCGAUUCAAUGACCGGAUGUCGGAUUAGCUAGUUGGUGGGGUAAAGGCCCACCAAGGCGACGAUCCGUAGCUGGUCUGAGAGGAUGAUCAGCCACACUGGAACUGAGACACGGUCCAGACUCCUACGGGAGGCAGCAGUGGGGAAUAUUGGACAAUGGGCGAAAGCCUGAUCCAGCCAUACCGCGUGUGUGAAGAAGGCCUUCGGGUUGUAAAGCCCUUUUGUUGGGAAAGAAAAGCAGCAGGUUAAUACCCCGCUGUUCUGACGUUACCCAAAGAAUAAGCACCGGCUAACUUCGUG